UCAGGACGAACGCUGGCGGCGUGCCUAAUACAUGCAAGUCGUACGCUUCUUUUUCCACCGGAGCUUGCUCCACCGGAAAAAGAGGAGUGGCGAACGGGUGAGUAACACGUGGGUAACCUGCCCAUCAGAAGGGGAUAACACUUGGAAACAGGUGCUAAUACCGUAUAACAAUCGAAACCGCAUGGUUUUGAUUUGAAAGGCGCUUUCGGGUGUCGCUGAUGGAUGGACCCGCGGUGCAUUAGCUAGUUGGUGAGGUAACGGCUCACCAAGGCCACGAUGCAUAGCCGACCUGAGAGGGUGAUCGGCCACAUUGGGACUGAGACACGGCCCAAACUCCUACGGGAGGCAGCAGUAGGGAAUCUUCGGCGAAUGGACGAAAGUCUGACCGAGCAACGCCGCGUGAGUGAAGAAGGUUUUCGGAUCGUAAAACUCUGUUGUUAGAGAAGAACAAGGAUGAGAGUAACUGUUCAUCCCUUGACGGUAUCUAACCAGAAAGCCACGGCUAA
rnacentral:rRNA from 1 species